UGGGGGAUAUUGCACAAUGGGCGAAAGCCUGAUGCAGCGACGCCGCGUGGGGGAUGAAGGCCUUCGGGUUGUAAACUUCUUUUGCUCUGAACAAGGCAUGCUAAUGGGUGUGUUGAGUGUAGGGGUUGAUUAGCGCCGGCUAACUACGUGCCAGCAGCCGCGGUAAUACGUAGGGCGCGAGCGUUGUCCGGAAUUAUUGGGCGUAAAGGGCUUGUAGGUGGGUGGUUGCGUCUGUCGUGAAAGCUCAUGGCUUAACUGUGGGUUUGCGGUGGGUACGGGCUGGCUUGACUGCAGUAGAGGAGGCUGGAAUUCCUGGUGUAGCGUUGGAAUGCGCAGAUAUCAGGAGGAAUACCGGUGGCGAAGGCGGGUCUCUGGGCUGUUACUGACACUGAGGAGCGAAAGCAUGGGGAGCGAACAGG
rnacentral:rRNA from 1 species